ACUCCUACGGGAGGCAGCAGUAGGGAAUAUUGGUCAAUGGGCGAAAGCCUGAACCAGCCAUGCCGCGUGUCAGAUGAAGGUCCUCUGGAUUGUAAAUGACUUUUCUACGGGAAGAAUGAGCCGUCUGCGGACGGAAGUUGACGGUACCGUAGGAAUAAGCACCGGCUAACUACGUGCCAGCAGCCGCGGUAAUACGUAGGGGUGCAAGCGUUGUCCGGAUUUACUGGGUUUAAAGGGUACGUAGGCGGUUGUGCCAAGUCUGGGGUGAAAGUUUGCAGCUCAACUGUAAAAUUGCCUUGGAUACUGGUCGGCUAGAGUAGUGGAGCGGUGGCUGGAAUUUAUAGUGUAGCGGUGAAAUGCUUAGAUACUAUGAGGAACACCAAUUGCGAAGGCAGGUCACUGGUCACUAACUGACGCUGAGGUACGAAAGUAGU
rnacentral:rRNA from 1 species